GUAAAUUAACGUUCUUAAUAAAUUUGAUUUUUUCCACGACUUAAAAUAGCUGCCGGCAUAGAACUUAGCAUGCUAAGUUUCACGCAAGAAUUCAACCAAUAUUAAGAUGUAGCUGCAGCUGGUCGAAGUUAUGCUAAAGAAUUUUAGGUGGGUUACGUAUCUACUGUCAAACAAAAUAUUCAAAGAUAUCAAAGGUGAGCAAAAGUCCGAAGCUGUGUCGUCUUAUGUGUCCUUCAGUCAAACCUAAUCGGACAUUGAACGAUAGUGUGCGGAGAUCGCUCUACGUAACAGGUCCGCUGAAAAUAUAUUAAGAUUCUAAUUUCAUACCUUCGACUGAACAACAUAAUAUCUGGCGAAGUAACAAACGAAGCCAGCUGUUUGUACAAAAAAUGGAACUGUUGAUUCAUGUCCACAUCAAUCUCAAACUCAAAAAUGCCUUAGCCCAAAUAGAACAUAAUUUUAUAAUAUUUUAAUUAAAAUAAUGUGUAUUGGCACAACUAAAUAAAUCAGUCACUUCCG